AAUAAGUUUUUGGGAAAGUCUCAGAUCUUAAUAUGUAGAAGAAAAAAAGUUUUCAAGAUUCUCAUAGCGAAUUAUUCUUGUUUUUAUAUUUGGUUGCAUAAAAUUUUGUUGGCAUACAUGAAAGUUUAUAAUUUUUAAUGUUGAAUAUUAAUAUAAAGUUUAAUGAACGUAUUUUAUAUAAUAUUUAUGCAAUAAACUAAAAUAGAUUUUUUAACAUUAAAAACAAAAUAUAAUUUUUAAAUAAUGCAUCUGUUGAAAAAUAUCUCAAAAUAGUCUCGAAACAUACUUCCAAAUAAAAAUUCGAGGCAUGCCGCUAGAGGAAAUUGUUUUCUAUAUAUGUGAUGAUUUGUGUGUUUACUUGUUUUCUUACGACAAUGCCAACAAUCGGCUGAGUGGAAGUUUAGAAAGUGAAUGAAAGAUAGAAAUGUUUUUAAGUUUGAAUACGUUAUAAACUUGUCUACAACUUACUUGUUGUCAUAAAGUUACCAAUAAUUCGAAAAGAUAUAUUGAAAUUUCAACUUGCAAUGAUGCGUGUGAUAUUGAUCAUAAAAAAUAUAUUUUUUGGUUGUAUUCUUACAUAUAUCGGAGAUGGCAAAUUGUUUCAUUCAAUUUCGGGGGAAUAGCAAACAUUGAAAAACGAAAUGGAAAGCUCUCUCAAACGGAGCUCGGACGUAAACGAUGAUGCGCCACAGAAGAAAAAGAUUCCCCGUUCGGAAACUUCACUGCCCUUUGAUUGGUAUACCAAUUGUUUUUUCUGUGGAGCAAGGAGCAAAUCCGAAAAAAGGUAUCAAAGGUAUCAAAUUAUCAUUUGUUUCCGCAGCCAAAAGUAGUACAAUUAAAACAAAGAUUCUCGACGCAGCAAAAAUUAGAAAAGAUACUGUCAUUGAAAAUCGAUUUAACUCUGAAGGUUUGAAUUUUGAUUUGCACACAGCAAAAGCACAUUAUCACAUAAAGUGCUAUCAAGAUUAUAUUUCGGCAAAAGCACUCAAUGCCUUCCAAAAUAAAUCCUUACAUAAUUUAUUACACCUUUUUUACUUUCUAUUUGGGUUAUUAAUUAUUUAAAUUAUACUCAGCAUAUUCUAAUGAAGGAAAUGAAUUUUAUAACUAACUAUAAAAACAUCUCCAUAGAGCUCCAUAAAACCAUAACGAAUUAAACUGCGAGGAUUUUUACACGCGCUACUCGAGCGGCAUGACGACGCGGAGUCGAAACUCGCAUCUUGAAAUCGUUGUAACUUUUUUUCUUCUGCAUAUUAAGAUGAGACUUUCCCAAAAACUUAUUCACGCCAUUAAUUUUAGUACCAUGCAUUCAGAAGUAGUAAAUUUUAAACUUCCUCACUCAACUUUUUCAAUCGUAUGCACAAAGUCGGGAGAGCCUAAAAAAAUUUUCCGGAAUUUUCUAUACAGCCGGAAAAUUUUGGGGGGGGGAUUCGGAUAUAUUUAUUUACUUUUUGGAUUGGUUCAAGGAUAUGCCAAAAAAAUUUCAUGAAAAAAUAUUCAUUAUUCGCCAAAAUACAGCGAGUAGAACAGCAAAAAUCACGAAUUCAUUUUUUCCAGAUUUUCGACUUAAAACUCGAUUUUGAUUAUGUUCCCCCAACUUUGGAGGAAAAUAAAUGUCAUAUUCGUAUUCAGCACCGUCGAAAAUAUAAAGAUCAAUGGUUUUUAGCGACUAGAACGCGAUUGGUCGGUACAUGAAAAAAAAUGUAUAUAUUGUAUUCUUCGUUGUGGUUCGAACUCCAACCUGGCAGUUGUAUAACAGCGAAUAUAAAGAAUAAAAUCCCCACAAAUUUACUAGAAUUGACUUUGAUUCAAACUGCAGUGUAGAUAGGUAGAGGUCGAUUCGAUUUCUCGAAAGUCGAUAACACAAUAAUUUCUUGAAAAACCUCAAUUUUAUAAUAGAUAAAUUAGAAGUGACUACUGUGCCACGGUACGUGAACAAAGGAAUAUUCAAAAUGAUUGAGGUUUUGUCAACUUUUCUCUUUGCCAUGCGCCAGAUAUAUCAAUUAUAAAUGUACGUAAAGUACAUAAAGUAUGUUUCUUUACGCACUAGUAUCUGAUGUAAAGGGGGUCAUGACCCCCCCUAAACCCUGAUUAAGUAACUUGGUUUUUUGUUUCUUCUAAAAGGGCGUAAGUAGGAAUAUGUGAAAAUACGAAUUAUAUGAUUAAAUAUGAUUCAAAGUCGAUGAGGAAUUGAGGAUUAAAGUGAAAAUUGCGUAAAAUUCGUCAUUAAGCUGUGAAAAACAAGGUAAUUAACUUAUAUUGUGUUGGUAAAAGGCUUAAAAUACCAUGUCUUUGGGGGAGGACUCGACUUAAUACUAAUGACCCCCGUUUGUCAAUACCCUGGAUCCGCCCUUGGUCUAAAGUACUUUCUUCACGCACGGCACCUAGUAGAAAAACGUUUUUUUAUGACCUCGCCAACGAAGUGGAAUAAUCACCAAAUACAUCAAUUUCAACAUUAUAAAGAAUUUCAAAACAAGCGAAAUUUCUGAUAGUCUUUUUCGUAAGCAAAUUAUUUAUGGCCACUUUACGUAACUCUAGAGGUGCGCAAUUAAUUUCUUUGCCUUGAUCUUCAUCCAUUUUCUUGAAUUAUUUUAUAUUUGACGUGUCAACAAAUGAAAUAUAAAACUUUCAAUUGUUAAUCUAGUUUGUUUUAACAGUGUUACCACCUAAAUAUAAUUACCACAAUUUUCCUAUCAUAAUGUUCAAACAAUAAUUUAAAAUAGAAAAUAGUGGCGAAAUAGAAAAAAAAUCGUAUCACACUUGUUUUAUAAGACAACUUUGUCGCACUCGUUGCUUUAUACUCUAAAAAACGCUUGCGACAAAAUUGGAUCUUACAAAUAAUAAAUAACUAUUAUCGAGUAUUCUAGAGGAAAUAUUGAUGAUGGAACAUUAUACAUGAUAUAUUUAAUUAACUUAUUUUCAUAAAAAAUUCCAGUGCUAAUGUGUCCAAAUCCAAGUUCAAGUAUUAUAAACUAUGAUUGUUAUAGAAAUCUUAACACAAUCACUGUGAUAUAUGUUUAAAUAAGAAUAUAUGUAUAUUCUCUAUUAUAUUAAAUAUUCCCUUGUAUAAUAUGCAACGCGUUUCGUUAGUAGUGACGUCACAUCGCCAUUUUUAGAUGUUUGGGUUCAAAAAAAACUUCUUCUAAUGUUUGUUCUUAGUAGCUGCACUGGUACUAGUACAGACCAGUUCAUGAAUGUAUAGAAUUAGUUCGGAACGAAUACAAAGAACGAUAUAGUGCAGAGAGCAAUGAAGCAUUUGUUGAUUGUUGUAUUUGAAGUUAUUUGAUGUGAUUCAGGCCAUGUAGUAUUAACAAUAAUGGAAAACGAUUUAGUAUUUUUUGAUAUUUUACAUUUGUCUGAUGGCGAAGAUGUAAUGCUCCCGUUUUCAGAUUACUCUUAUUGCACUGCAUUGGCUGAACUGACAGUACAGUGAAUUGGGUGAACUAGUUCUCUUGUACUGCUACUGAGAACAGCGACACUAGCGCUGCUUCUGCUACAAACAACGCUUUGGUGUACACUUCCUGAACUAGUUAUAUCAGUGCAACUAACAAAAACAAACCUCUACAGUUAAUCAGUUUAUUUCACAAUAAACUAUUUGAGGUUAAGUUAUUUUAUACUUGUUUUUGACUUAUUCUAAAUUUAUAUCCAAUAAUAAACUACCUUAAACCUCUUAAUUAAAUAAAAUAAUAAAUAUUAGCCUUGUAUUCUUUUUUCUAAAAUUGAUUUAAUUAGAACACAGACACAGUGACCUAAAUGAACUUUAUAUGUUAGCCUAACGUGGCGUAUACUAAAAUGCAGUCGAACUUCCGCACAUUUCUGUCUAAAUAUUAUCCAUAUAUGUGAUAUUUCUAUUUGUACAGUUUAAAUGGUAAAGAAUGUCCCACUAUUAAAGUGCUGACAAUAUACCCCUGAGUUUAAAAAUCAACUUGAUUUUGGUAACAAAUCGAUAGGAACAAUUAAGAAUUAGUUUUUAUGAAAUUUUCCAAAAAGGUUUCGUCUUAUAAUCUUAAUUUACAAGUAAGUUGUAACUAUUUAAAAAAUUAUUAUAUUAUGAACAAGUUUCUUUGGUAUUUAUUACAGCCUUGAAAAUUGAUGCAAAGUCGUACGUAUAAAAAAGUUCACAAAAUUAAAAAUUCUCCCAUGACUGUUUUCCCCAUGAUUGAAAAAUGCUUUUUUUAUAACAGGAAAUUUUUUUUCGUCAUUUUAACUAUUAAGUCGUGACUAAUCACCAGUUUGAUAAAGACUGAAAGUAGUCGGAAUUUUUAUUUGUCUUUUAAAAAAUUAUAAUAAUAAAAGGUAAUUUUAUAACAGAAGAGAUCUAAAAACGAGACGAUUUAGAAACAAGCUUAUUGAAAAAAGGCGAAAAAAAUUUCAAUUUAAAAAAAUUAUUGUUUAGCUUCGGCGCAUGCAUGUCAUAACAAACGCGCGGAGCCCUAUUUUCAACGUCAAAUUAAAAUUAUAAAUAAUGGAAAUAGAAUUCCGGAAUUCAAAACUUUUUUAUCGGAAAUUUAAACGAGCAUUUUUCAAUAUUAUGUAAAUAUUAAUGUUUUUUCGAGUCAUUGCUCAUAUUUUUUGAAUUUUCAUCUCUAUUUUUCACGUUUUAGAAUUUGUUGACUGGACUAUAAAUAGACUUAACAGUUGGUGUCAAGCUAGAAACAUUUCUACGUUGUUAUUAUCCAUAAAAUUUCAAAUAUUUACGUUUAAAAUAUUUCGAUUUCCAAUGUUUUUUAACCAACACAUUUUUGUAUUUCAUUAAAAAUUUAUUGUUAUAUGUAUAAUCUUAAUAGUAUGUAUAUAGGGCUAACGCAAAUGUAAUGCAGGGUUUGAGCUAAAUAGAAAGUAUAAUUUUUGGCCUCUAGACUCUUAUUUAUUACUGAAUUAUAAGUAGGUAUGUUUAAAUAGUCUCCACGUAUUGUAAGCAAUACGCAUUCUGCUUCUGCAUAAUUGUAGCUAAAUUUCGUUGAUUGGCCUAGAACUAAGAAAUUAGUUCCAAUAAGAAAAGCGCGCGAAGAAAUAGUCUGUUUAAAUUAUCGCACAAUGUUAUUGUCUAUUGGGACAUAUAUUCAAAUUAGUAUUAUUAUUAGAGGGAAAAUGGAGUCCUGGAAGAAAAACGUCAUGGUUGAAAAAUUUACGUCAGUUGUUCGGUCAGACAACUAGUUCACUCUUCCAAGCUGCAGUGAACAAAAUUAUCAUAGCCAACAUAAUCGCCAAUGUCCGAUAACAGAAUCGACAUUAUAAGAAGAAGAUUCAAAUUAUAGACAGAGAACAAGAGUGGCUACCACAUAUAUAAAAGGCAAAAGAGGAAACCUUGUAGGUGACGAAGAAGAAAAAACUAGUAGAUGGAAAGAAUAUUUCGAAGAAACAUUUAAAAUCGAAUUUAAAAAGAACUUAUGAUACUAUAAACAGAAAAAGUUGAGCAAAAUAUUACGAGAAUUAGAAAUUCCAAACAAAUUACUUGAACUAGUUAAAAUGACAUUAGAGGACACAACCAACAUAGUAAAAAUCAAUAACAAGAAAGGUGAACCUUUCAAAAUACAACUAGGAUUAAGACAAGGGGACCCUCUAGCUAUGGUACUAUUUAAUGUACCUUUGGAAAGCAUAAUGAGAAGAGCAAGUGUCAACAUAUAUUUAACAGAAGUCAUCAAUACUGAGCUUAUUCCGAUGAUGUGAUGUUUAUAGCAAGUAACAGAGGAAAGCUUGAAGAAACCACAAAACAACUAAUAACCGCAGCAGAAGAGAUAGGCCUACAUUACAAUAAUGAUAAAACAAAGUUUAUGGAAAUAAAGAGUGAAUUUGGAAGCAAGUCAAAAAACAAUUCAGGUACAUAAACAUGAUGGGACGUUAAUAAAAUUCGAGGAAGUAGAAAAUUGAUACUACAACCACAGGUGAACCUUUCAAACUACAACUAGGAUUAAGACAAGGGGACCCUCUAGCUAUGGUACUAUUUAAUGUACCUUUGGAAAGCAUAAUGAGAAGAACAAGUGUCAACAUAUAUUUAACAGAAGUCAUCAAUACUGAGCUUAUUCCGAUGAUGUGAUGUUUAUAGCAAGUAACAGAAGAAAGCUUGAAGAAACCACAAAACAACUAAUAACCGCAGCAGAAGAGAUAGGCAUACAUUACAAUAAUGAUAAAACAAAGUUUAUGGAAAUAAAGAAUGAAAGUGGAAGCAAGUGAAAAAACAAUUUAGGUACAUAAACAUGAUGGGACUUUAAUAGAAUUUGAGUAAGUAGAAAAUUUUAGUGUAUUGCCAAGAAAAAAAAGAUAUAUCGAACUAAAAAUUGCUAAAAGUAAAAGCUCUGCAGGCAAGCCUUAGAAGAAUAUUAACAUCGAAAGAGAUAUCCAGAUCUAUGAAAGAAUUGAUGAAACAAUUUUGAGACCCACCCUAAUAUACUCGUGUGAAACCUGGAUAAUGACGAAUAAAACUAAACAGCAAUUGGAAAUCUGGGAGAGAAAGAUACUAAGAAGAAUUUUUGAAGAAAAGCAGACAUGAGUCACCAAUAAGUGCAUUUAUAAAGACAAGUAGGCUUAAGUCACUUAGAACGAAUGGACAAAGACACACUCUUGAAACGAGUUGCAUUGAAGAUACCAGAGGGCAAGAGGAAAAGGGGUUGACCAAGUAAAUGGUGGAGGUGAAGUAGUGGAAGAGUACCAUACAGAGAAAAAGAUCGGGAACUGGAGUGAAAAAGCAAGAGAUCGAAAGAAGUGGAAAGAAAUUACAAGGCUAUGGACCUAUAUGGUUUGUAUAUAAACUAUAUACAAAAAUAUUCAAAUUUUAGAAGUUUUAUGAAAGAAUUAGCAUUUAUAAAUAUAACUAAAGAAAAACAGAAAGAUACGAGUCAAAUGCAAGUCUGGUUUGUUUUGUUUACAUUCACGAGACCAUAUGACACGAGAGACUGCUGCCGCGCGCAAGCGUUGACUCCAUUAAUUUCUAGAAAGAAGGGAUCAUAGAGCUCUCUCUUUCUUACAUAUGGGCGUAAUAGUUCAUGUCCAGACUUUCCUAUGCAGGGGCUUUACGUGAAUCGAAAUUAAAACACCAAUUACACUUGACAAAAUAGAAGUAAAUAUCUGCUAACAUAACCUAUUUCACUACAGGUAUCGAUUAUUUCAUUCAAUUGUACGAAAUUAUUCGUAUCACGUUAAUGCGUUUUACUGCAUAAAAUUGCACCUCAAAGCUCAAUUUUUACUAAUUCCAGACUUUGAGCUGUCGUAUUAUUCUAUUUAUAAGGUUAGCUAAGAUUAUUGCAAAAAUUGGCGGCAAAUUCAAAUCUUGCGUUAGUUUUGUUACGCUCUUUAAAAGCACACUAGACUUGUCUGUUAAUUAUAAUCUGAUUAUUUGUGGAAA